GAGCCAUUCUUGCUGCUCUCCACUGUCGCCACGUGUUUGCUGAGGCAAAGUGUUUGAUCCAGUUAUUCACUUUUUACAGUGCGAUGACCGGAUCUGGACCGACGGUUCAGGUGAACCGGCCCUUUAAGAGCCGAGUGACAGUUAAAGUAAAGAUGUAAUCUGAACCGGAGCGAAGCCGAGCAGAACCCAGCGGUCCUGCUAACCGGACAGAACCGGAUCAGACCGAGGACAUCAGUACCGGCGGCGCGGCCCGGUUCUGGUCCAGUCUCAGCCUGCUGAAGCGGCCGGAGGCGCCGUGGGCUGGAAGACAACAGACCGGCUGAGUCAUCCUGGCAGAUCGACCCGAUCCACCCCGUCAUCUGUCCGUCUGAGUCCGACUGAGUCAGAACCGACCAGCAGGAACCGGCUGGACAACAUUUACCUCCAUUUCAGCCAAAUAUCGAUCAAUAAUCMCCUGAUAUUGAUAUUCUCUGGSAGAUUAUUAAUAAUCUACCAGAGAAACUAGUUAUUCUAAACUGAUUGAGGAAUAAAAACGGAUCAGAUGAAGGAUUUCCAAUAAUCUCCGUCUGAAUCCAGAGAGGCUUCAGACUGAAAAAACGUUUCAACCACGCAGGAAGUUCUUCAAAAGCACCAAAUCAUUUCAGUCCAGAACCACAGAAACGAUCAAAGAUGGCCGCCAGGAGUCCCUCAGGGAACAGGAUGUCACCUUAGAAACCGGUUUGGAUGCGUUUGAAACUCCACGCCCUCAUUCCUGUCGAACCUGCCAGUCAGUCGGCUUUUCACUGACUCACGCUUUUAAAGCAACCCACGAAGAAAAUCACCCAUGAUGCAACAGUCUCUACGUCACACUCAGAGAAAAACAUCGGAUCGGUGGAGACGGUUCUCAGCUAAACACCUGAUGGUUUCCGUUAGCAUUCAUCACCUCAUUAGCAUUUUUUAUCCAUUAGCAUUCGGCUUGCUAAACCCAGCAUUUCUAACACACACAUACUUAUUUAGGCGAUUUAUGCUAGCAAACAGUUAGCAUGCCAAAUACAAUGGCAGCUAGCGUACUUUUAGCUAACAUCCAUCAUCUUACGCAGCCUGUUACGGAGCGAAAGCUUCUUCAAACACCAUCCGCUGAACCUUUCUGUUCGCUUUUUAUUGAAGGGGGAAAAAAAAUAACGGCGACGGCUGUCCGUAACCAUAGCAACCACAAAAUCAACAAAA